GCCUGGUUAUUUUCCUCUGCCUGGUGAUGGCGCUGAACCAAGCAGGCUUCAGACAUUGAAAAACAGAGCCAGGUAGGGUAGUGAGGCCUGGUGCAGUGCCUAACAUCCCUAGGGUUCAACCAGACUGAAGGGUCCACUUGUGGCACCUGGGCUCGCUGCAGCAUACGCUACAUUCUAUGUUUCCAUGACCAGAGCACAAAACGUCUGCUCCGUGAGAAGAUUGUCCUUGCACGCUGGUGUCAGAACUAGGUUUGCAGUGCUCGUAAGUCAAACUGGGGGGGUGACACCACUGCUCAGUGCAGACAGAAAUCAUUCUCUAGCACAAUGCAUGCC
rnacentral:lncRNA from 1 species